rnacentral:misc_RNA from 1 species
GAUGAAGAACGCAGUGAAAUGCGAUAAGUAAUGUGAAUUGCAGAAUUCAGUGAAUCAUCGAAUCUUUGAACGCACAUUGCGUCCGCCAGUAUUCUGGCGGGCAUGCCUGUUCGAGCGUCAUUACAACCCUCAGGCCCCCGGGCCUGGCGUUGGGGAUCGGCGGAAGCCCCCUGCGGGCACAACGCCGUCCCCCAAAUACAGUGGCGGUCCCGCCGCAGCUUCCAUUGCGUAGUAGCUAACACCUCGCAACUGGAGAGCGGCGCGGCCACGCCGUAAAACACCCAACUUCUGAAUGUUGACCUCGAAUCAGGUAGGAAUACCCGCUGAACUUAAGCAUAUCAAUAAGCGGAGGA